rnacentral:rRNA from 1 species
UACGUAGGGGGCUAGCGUUGUCCGGAAUCAUUGGGCGUAAAGAGCUUGUAGGCGGCCCGGUAAGUCCGCUGCGAAAGUCGGGGGCUCAACCCUCGAAUGCCGGUGAAUACUGUCGAGCUGGAGGUUUGGAGGGGGGACUGGAAUUCUUGGUGUAGCAGUGAAAUGCGUAGAUAUCAAGAGGAACACCAGUGGCGAAGGCGAGUCCCUGGACAACACCUGACACUGAGGCACGAAAGCUAGGGGAGCAAACAGG